GUACGCUCGCAAGAGUGAAACUCAAAGGAAUUGACGGGGACCCGAACAAGUAGCGGAGCAUGUGGUUUAAUUCGAAGCAACGCGAAGAACCUUACCUAAGCUUGACAUCCCAAUGACAUCUCCUUAAGCGGAGAGUUCCCUUCGGGGACAUUGGUGACAGGUGGUGCAUGGUUGUCGUCAGCUCGUGUCGUGGGAUGUUGGGUUAAGUCCCGCAACGAGCGCAACCCUUGUCUUUAGUUGCCAUCAUUAAGUUGGGCACUCUAGAGAGACUGCCAGGGAUAACCUGGAGGAAGGUGGGGAUGACGUCAAAUCAUCAUGCCCCUUAUGCUUAGGGCUACACACGUGCUACAAUGGGUAGUACAGAGGGUUGC
rnacentral:rRNA from 1 species